AGGACGAACGCUGGCGGCGUGCUUAACACAUGCAAGUCGAGGGAGGCCGACCCUUCGGGGUCGAGUCGACCGGCGGACGGGUGAGUAACACGUGACCAACUUACCUUCGGGAGGGGGACAACCUGGGGAAACCCGGGCUAAUACCGCAUAAAGUGCCUUGGCCGCAUGACCGGGGCAUGAAAGGGGGCCUCUACUUGUAAGCUCCCGCCUGAAGAGGGGGUCGCGGCGUAUCAGCUAGUUGGUAGGGUAACGGCCUACCAAGGCGACGACGCGUAGCGGGUCUGAGAGGACGACCCGCCACAUUGGGACUGAGAUACGGCCCAGACUCCUACGGGAGGCAGCAGUGGGGAAUAUUGCGCAAUGGCCGAAAGGCUGACGCAGCGACGCCGUGUGUGGGAGGAAGCUCUUCGGGGUGUAAACCACUGUCGAGGGGGGAAGAAACGUCGGUCGGGCAAACGAACCCGGUCGAUUGACGGUACCUACCGAAAGGAAGCGCCGGACUAACUCCGCACCCAGCAGCCGC
rnacentral:rRNA from 1 species